GGAAGCCGAAAGGUGACCGACCCUUCGGGGAGCUUGCACAGGUGCUGCAUGGCUGUCGUCAGCUCGUGUCGUGAGAUGUUCGGUUAAGUCCGCUAACGAGCGCAACCCUCGCUGUGUGUUAUAUGUGUCACACGGGGACUGCCGGUCUUAAGCCGGGAGGAAGGUGGGGAUGAUGUCAAGUCAGCAUGGCCUUUAUAUCCUGGGCUACACACACGCUACAAUGGCCAACACAAUAGGUUGCUAAGCCGCGAGGGUGGCGCCUAAAUCCAUAAAGUUGGUCUCAGUUCAGAUUGUAGGCUGCAACCCGCCUGCAUGAAGAUGGAGUUGCUAGUAACCGCAGGUCAGCUAUACUGCGUUGAAUACCGUUCCCGGGGUUU
rnacentral:rRNA from 1 species